rnacentral:lncRNA from 10 species
CCUCACCUGGCCAGCGGGACGCGCCCGGGAACCCCGCACGCGGGCGGGCCGCCUCUUUGUUAGCAAGUUUGCCUUUCUGUGAUUCAGAGCACGCGGAGCGAAUUAAGUGGAGUGAGGGGUGAGUGAGGUCUAUGGGGGUAAGCCCCCCCGCCUCCCCGUAGACCUCCUGGAAUGCCUGGAACAGCUCAGCAACCUGGGCACAGGUGGCUUGAGACAACCUAGCCAUUCGGGCCUGCUGCCAGAGUGAACGCCACAGGGAGGCCUGCCGGGUCUGGGGAGCAUGAGCUGGUCAGGCCCCCAGUAGACCCCUUGCAGGCUGAUCUCCAUCUCCAUGCAGAGUCUGUAUCCUAGAAAUCCAACCUGAGAUCCUGCGGCACCGAGAAAGGGAAGCUGUUUCAAGAGAUAGGAAUUGUCAGAAAAAGCCGGAGAAGGUGGUGUUAAAGGAAAACAUUGAGAAUGGGGAGUGAAGACGAGGGUUUUUCGUAGCAGAAGAUGGAUCUUCGAAAGCCAGGAGGCAGAGGAGAGCAACGCUGUCGGUGAGAUAAAGGUGAAGGGAAGCUGAUAUUCCCUGAAGUUAGUAAUAUUAAAACAGUACUGAAGAAAGAGAAAGUUGGAAAAUGGUCUAGAGGGACCUUUUAGCAACAUGAGAGGGCGAGGGAUGAAUGGAGCUCUGGACCAGGAUAUUCCCUCUGCAGCACCAUCCCUGGGAACGUCAGACGUCUGGGGUAGUGAACCAACAAAAAUAGAAUAUGCAAUUAACAAUUUCCCAGGAAUCAUGUUUACACACGUAAAAAAAAAGAGAAAUAGGUGAAAGUAAUUUCAAUGAUGUAUUUUAUUUAACACAAUAUAUUUUAGAUAUGUUUUAAAUAAAAUAUAUCAUUAAAAUUGAUGUGUCAAUAUACAAAAUUAAUAAUGAGCCGU